rnacentral:lncRNA from 1 species
AUUUCAGGAUUUAUCACUAAAUCAGACAAAGUCAUUUAUUUAGUACCCCUGACACAGCAGGGCAAACUGAGUUGGCAUACAAGUUACCUGGAGAAAAAGAGAGCAAUUCCAGGACUUCCUCUUCAGCCCAAAAGAAGGUACCAGAUCUGUGCACUGGGGCGAUGUGGAAGAGACCUGCUUAUUGCCCCUGAUGUAAACUCCAGUAAGAAAAGACGUCAAGUACAAGUACUAGGAAAUCACUUUAUACAUCUGUUUAUAGAUGGAUGCAGAGGCUGAAGAUAAAACGCUACGUACUCGCUCUAAAGGAACUGAGGGUGAGUUAGCAAGCAGGUUCUAUGACACUAUGCCCACCACACCAUGAAAUAUGAGAGUUCCAGUGCUCAGUCCCUCAUGUGCAGUCAGAAUGAUUACAACUUCCUCGGGGCUUCUUUUUUCAAAUCAAGCCAGGACACUGGCUCUUGGCAUGGAGAGGCA